ensembl:lncRNA
AACUUGAAGCUGGAUGUAGGUUUGUGAAAUAACCAUGCCCAUCGCAGACAUGACUUCUCGGCCUUACACCUUUCAAGAAAGUCCUCCUGGUCACAGAGACUGGUGAAACCUUAGGAAGGAAAACCUCCAGAACAUGGCCAAACAGCCCGAAAAACCUACAGCAACCAGAAAUUAAUUUCAUUUUAUACAUCUGAUCUCUUGAUAAUACAAAUAAAUUUAACAUUUUGCAUUUUAGCUUUACAAUAGCCAGCUUUCGUAUUGUGACCUGAAAGCAUUUCGCGUACAUCUUACAGAGCAAUCCGAGCACAAGGUCACAGAUAAAACUCCUGCUGCACGAAUCCUCUGGUAGCUCAGCAAUGGCUCCUUCCAGAAAAAAGCACAUGCGCUGGUCACCCAAAUCCAUCCAAGCGCUCAUCAAAGAAAUAGAAAGCCUUCCUGAGGGUAUCCGCCUCAUGGGAAGCUCAUCAGCCCCAAACUUGGCCAUCUGGAAAAAAGUGGAGAAAAAGAUGGCCAGAAGGAAUUACCCCUGGAAGGUGUCCCAGCUCAGGAACUGCUGGAAGAUGAUCAAGUCAAAAUUCUACACGGAGCAAGCCUUUCACAAGAUCUACAAGGCUCACAGUCGUGAUCCUCCUCCAUACUAUCAGUCAAUGCUUCGGCUGUGGAAGCGGGCAGGGAAGCCCAUCUUCAGGGACAGACGCCGCACAGCCAACAAGCCCUGCCAACGGCAGCCGCAACGUCAGCGCCCACAAGUGAAGAGGAGGCAACGCGUCCUCUCAUUACCAAGGCUCGCGGAUGAGCCACUCCCACCUGUGGCACCUGCGGCUGCAGCAAGACUGCCGAAUUCCUCGGGGCUGGGCAUGGCGCAAGGAGAGGAGCCAUUGCUGGAAGAAGAGGAGGACACUGAGGUGGAGGAGGAGGAGGAGGAGGAGGAAGAGGAAGAAGAGGAGGAGGAGGAAGAGGAGGAGGAGGAAGAGGAGGAGGAGGAGGAAGAGGAGGAGGACGAGGUGGAGGAGGAGGAAGAGGACGAGGUGAUGGCGGUGGAAGAAGGGACUAGUAGGACGGCCACCUUUGAACUCAUGCCAGAAAUCUAUGUGGGACAAGAAGAAGAACCUGCACACAGAACUGGGACAACAGGCAGAGACAGGGGAGAAUCCCCACACCCAUCCACUUCUACAGCCACAAGAGGUGCCGUCCCAGGUGGGUCUGGGACGUGGAGCCUAAGAUCCCGUGAAGUCAACGCUACGUCUCUUCUGGGGAAACAGCCCUUGAAAGGAAACAGUCGCCAAGGGAAAGCAACCACCACCUUUGCAAGAACAGGACAAAAUGGGCCCGGGGCCGUGCAAACAGCAUCCAUUGAAGCAGGAAGGCGAGCCGCUUCAUUGGAGGAUGUGAUGGGCCAGCUGGAGGUUCUAACCGAAGUUAUCCAGUCUGCUGUAUUACACUUUAACCAAGAAAUUAAAGUGAUUAAAGAGCGGCUGAGAUGCCCAGAGGAGAGUUCCCGGAACCAGCAAUGAGACUCUGCACCAUUCUUUUGUAUCACUUAAGCAAAUUAUUAUAUUCUGUGCAAUGCUGACAUUUUUAUUUAGUUUGCUUAACUUGCAUGCCCAGGACAUUCGUCCUGACUUCCUUUGUUGAUGGAAUUUUGUUCACUUGAUAAAGUAAUUUCAUGUUGUGUCUGAUACAGGGGGGAAAUGUAAAACAGAAGGGUUGGGGUUUAAGGCCUUCUUCUCCCCUUUUAUAGAAUCAAGGACAUCAAGCCCAGCCCCCUGUUGAAUCGCUUUUCCCCUCCACUUUUGUUGCAAAAAGUGUAGGGGGAAAGCAGCUUUUUGCAACGAAAGUGUAUGGGCAAAGCAGGAAUCACUUUCCCCCUACACUUUUUCCAAUGAAAGUAUAGGGGGAAAGUGAUUCCUGCUUUGCCCCUACACUUUCAUUGCAAAAAGUGUAGGGGGAAAGCAGCUUUUUGCAACGAAAGUGUAUGGGGAAAGCAAUUCUUGCAACAAAAAAUGGUUAGCAACUUUUUGCCAUAUGCUUAUACUUAGCUCCACUGUUAGAAUCUCUAUACUGUCUUCUUCCACAAGAGCCUCAAUAUUUCACUUCCAUACUGUCUAUGAGGUCUCUCAGCUGCAAGUUUCAAAGUGGGCAAUUUAGAGCAUUACUGGUGAGUUCCUGAAUAUCAGAGUCAUGCAUCUGGCAGGGCUGAUACAGUAACAUUUAAGCUGUUGACGGACCCUGUAUAUGUUAAUAAAGAUUAUAAUUAAUUUUGACCCUAACA